rfam:Stegodyphus mimosarum contig75370, whole genome shotgun sequence.
GCCUUCGUGGUGUAGUGGUCAGCACACUCGGCGCAUAAUCGAGAUGUCCGUGGUUCGAGUCCCGGCGGCGGCA